AAGUCGUAACAAGGUUUCCGUAGGUGAACCUGCGGAAGGAUCAUUAACACGUUAUCCACGUUAUCAACCAAAUGCGAACUUGUUUUCACGUCUCCCUUUGCAAUUUGAAUGAAUUGGAACCAGUUUGAGGGAAUUGAUGUGGAUUGCAGUCAAAUGCAAUCGGCCUUCCUGGUAUACUAACGAACACUGAAAAGUGAUUGUUGACAAUUGUAUCUUAUUGAUUAAAAGGCCAAAUUUCUUUCGCUAUUUCGAUCUCACAUCAUGAUCAAUGAAAUAGCUGAAAGAGAAAAACCAUAUAAACCAUUUUCACCACCUUUUUGCUAGUUGACUUUUUAUCUGUGAUCGUUUUGCUUUUUAGCAAUGCAGUCGCACGUUUAAAUUACUUGAACGUUAAAAAUAUACAACUCUUAGCAAUGGAUAUCUUGGUUCUC
rnacentral:misc_RNA from 1 species